rnacentral:lncRNA from 1 species
CAGCAGCAGAGACCUACACCCCUGCUCAUUAGGAAACCAGCUGCACGCACAGAUCCUCACUAAACCAGAUUUUAAUUCAAUGCAAAGUGGAAGUUAGUCUAUUCUUUUGGUUUUGAUUUCAAAAUGUUGGAGUUGCUGUUCGAGUGAGGGUGUUGUUCGAGUUAGAAGUCGAAGUCAUCGUUCGUUGGUUCGCAGUUCCCGUCUGAGUUCGACGCUCUUGC